rnacentral:rRNA from 1 species
AUUGAACGCUGGCGGCAGGCCUAACACAUGCAAGUCGAGCGGAGCGGCGGACGGGUGAGGAAUGCCUAGGAAUUUGCCCGUUAGUGGGGGAUAACGUCCGGAAACGGACCCCUUUGCUGCAUACUAUUAGAUGAGUUUCGGCCGUAUUAGCUAGUUGGUGGGGCAAAGGCUUACCAAGGCGACGAUCCGUAUCCGGUCUGAGAGGAUGAUCAGUCACACUGGAACUGAGACACGGUCCAGACUCCUACGGGAGGCAGCAGUAGGGAAUAUUGGGCAAUGGGCGAAAGCCUGACCCAGCCAUGCCGCGUGUGUGAAGAAGGUCUUCGGAUUGUAAAGCACUGUAAGUUGGGAGGCGUUACCAACAGAAUAAGCACCGGCUAACUUCGUGCCAGCAGCCGCGGUAAUAC